CGACCCUUCUCUCUGAUCCAGCACAGUCAACCUUCCGACAUUGUUUAGAAUCGGUCAGUCAACUCACUUGCUUUUGUCUCACGUCAAAUUUCUUUGAUCAACAACGGAAGCUAUUUACUUCGAUCAUCUCUAAAUUAUGAUUUAUUAGUACAAAGCAUUCGUGUUAAUGAAGAACUUCCCUCUCUCAAGCUACGACUUGCUGCUGCUACUUAACGCCAAUUUAAAUAAAAACCUACAAUCCCUCCUAGGCAGCCGUCUGGGAAACUCAGGCAAUCAGAAAGAAUUAAGGGUUUUGACGCUGCUUCACUACGUUCCUUGAGGUGAGC
rnacentral:lncRNA from 1 species